CUGAAGUCUUGCAUGCAAACAUGAGAUAAUAAUGUGUGCUGCAGCCAAGGAUGACUUGCCGGAAGCAACCAACUUCUCCUCUUCUUCUGUUAUUUACAGGUAUAUAAUAUGUUCAUCAAAUAAAAUUGGCUCUUAGGGGUAAAACGUACGUUAAAGAAAAUUAGUUCAGAUCAUAGGUUACGAUUUGUUUAGCUACCAACGCCAGCGUUAACAUCGUGGAUUAGUGGCAUUUAGGAAGAAGUAGGUGUGUUUUCGACAGGUGAUUACCGGCAAGUUGUCCCUGGCUACAUGUCUGUCUCAUGUUUACAUGUU